rnacentral:rRNA from 1 species
CCUACGGGAGGCUGCAGUGGGGAAUAUUGCGCAAUGGGCGAAAGCCUGACGCAGCGACGCCGCGUGAGGGACGAAGGUCUUCGGAUCGUAAACCUCUGUCAGCAGGGAAGAACGGUCACUGUGCUAAUCAGCAGUGAAUUGACGGUACCUGCAAAGGAAGCACCGGCUAACUCCGUGCCAGCAGCCGCGGUAAUACGGAGGGUGCGAGCGUUAAUCGGAAUUACUGGGCGUAAAGCGCUCGUAGGCGGUAUGUCAAGUCAAGGGGGAAAUCCCCGCGCUCAACGUGGGAACUGCCUUUGAAACUGGCAAACUGGAGUGUGUGAGAGGAUAGUGGAAUUCCAGGUGUAGGAGUGAAAUCCGUAGAUAUCUGGAGGAACAUCAGGGGCGAAGGCGACUAUCUGGCACAUAACUGACGCUGAGGAGCGAAAGCGUGGGUAGCAAACAGGAUUAGAUACCCGGGUAGUC